rnacentral:rRNA from 1 species
GACGGAGGAGGCAAGCGUUGUCCGGAAUUAUUGGGCGUAAAGGGUACCUAGGCGGCUGGUCAAGUCUGGGGUCAAAGGCCACAGCUCAACUGUGGGAAGGCCCUGGAAACUGACCGGCUAGAGUGAGGUAGGGGUUGCGGGAAUUCCCGGUGUAGCGGUGAAAUGCGUAGAGAUCGGGAAGAACACCUGAGGCGGAGGCGCGCAAUGGGGCCUCAAAUGACUUUGAGGUACGAAAGCUAGGGGAGCGAAUGUG